CCGUGCGGUCGGCCGGUCCCGUCGCGGCUGCCGCUAGCACGAGCUCCGCUCGGGCUCGCCUGGCCGUCGCUCGCCACGAGCUGCUGCCGCUGGCCGAGGACGCCUGGCUGCCGCUACUUGCGUGGCCGCGGGCGAGCCGGGGCACCUGGCCGCCGCGCGCUCGCGUGGCCGCGCUUGAGCAACGCGCGCUGCCUGGCCACCGCUGGCUCGCGUGGCUAUGCUCGAGUAGCACGUGGGCCCGCCUAGCCGCCGCGCACGCUAGCUGCCGGGGGAGCAGGGAUGGCUCGCGUGGCUGUGCUGGAGCAGCACGGUAGCUACUAGGGGAGCAGGCCCGCCUAGCUGCUGCGUGCAAGUCCCGCGCCGAUUCCCGCGUUGAAUCCCCAACUGCACAAGAUUCAGCUAAGCAUGAGGGAUGGGGAUGCCAAGCAAGAAUCUGGACGGUUCUUGGCUUUCUGCAGGGAUGGACCCUAAGUCAAGUUACUUGCUGGAAAUCAGACUCAAUUGCAAUCAUGAAAAGCGUAGGAAGGAUAUUUUAUACUUUAGCUUCAACAAAGUUAUGGAUUCUAAUCUAUGCAAUUUUAAGGACCUUGUCGAAGAAAUUGUUAAUCAGUACCCUCCUAGUUACCUGAAAGUAGUGCAUAUUUUUUACUACGAUGAGGUCAAAAAAUGCUUCCCACAAGUCACAACAGAUUAUGAACUACUUGAAAUGUUUAGCAAGCAUGUUGAGAAGAAGGUACUUCGUAUGACCAUUGCAUACACUGAUCCCAUAGAUGCUAUGCCUAUCCCUAAGUGCUACACCCUAGAAAAUUCAGAUGUGCUUGAUAUCCCAUGCACCCCAUCUAUGGCUUGUCCAUCACUUGCUACAGCAAGCCAGUCCAAUGAGCCAAUAUGCAGCCAAUAUUCUAAGCCAAAAACAGUUAGCCCGUUGAACCUAGCACAAAUGAACCUAAUGAUGCUCCUGAUGGUGCUGAAUAUUUGGCAAAUCCUGAACCACAAAAUGAACAUGUGGUUGUUGAUGAUGAAGGCUUGUACUUAGUUGUUCAUAAGACACAUGUGGUUGAGGAAAGUGACUCUAGUCUGAUUCUAAAUCCGACGAGGAGUAUGAGGAGGAGAAUGACUUAGUUGGCAAGGAUCCCUUAUGACCUGUGCCAGUUAUGGCCUAUGACCAAGAUGACCCACCAAUGAGUGUAGGCAACCUAUAUCCUAAUAUGGAGCAAUUUAAAUUGGCACUUUCUCAACAUGCUAUCAAACAUGAGUUUGAGUAUGACACUAAAAAGAGUGAUCCAAGAUGAUUGAGGGCUUAUUGUUCAAGGAAGGAAGAAGAAGGGUGCAGGUGGAGGUUGCAUGCUUCUACAAUUAAGGGUGAAAAAACCGUAAAGGUGAAGAAGAACCCACGGCGACAUACAUGUUCUAGUGCAAGAAGAAGCAAGGUUGUAAAGAAUGCAACAAAAUUUUGGGUCUGUGAACAAGUGAAGGAUCGGCUAAUGGAGGAUUCAAGUUUGAAAGCUAAAGAAUUACAAAGGAGGAUAAAGGAUAAGCACAAGGUAGAGGUUCCCUACAAGAGAGUGUAUGCAGGUAAAGAAUUGGCACAUACACGAUUAUUUGGUAGUUGGGACAAUAGCUUCAACAACCUGUACAGGUUUAAGGCUGAGAUGGAGAGGUGCUGUCCUGGAAGUUUUGUUGUCAUUGAUCAUCAUAAAGUUGAUGGGAAAAUCAGAUUUAAUAGGCUAUUUUUUGCUAUGAAACCAUGCAUAGAAGGUUUUCUAAAAGGAUGCAGGCCUUAUUUGGCAAUAGAUAGCACAUUUUUUACAGAAAGGUUUAGGGGGCAGCUGGCAUGUGCAGUAGCUGUAGAUGGACACAACUGGAUGUAUCCAGUUGUUGUUGGAGUGAUGGACUCAGAAACAAAUGAAAAUUGGAUAUGGUUUAUGCAAAAUCUUAGAGAUGCUAUUGGAUCACCUGAGGCUUAGCUAUAUGCACAGAUGCUGGACAAGGAGUGCUAACGAGAGUUAAGGAAGUGUUCCUAGUUGCAGAACAUAGGGAAUGCAUGCUACAUUUGGUGAUAAACUUCAAGAAAAGAUAUAUAAGAAAGAUAUUUGAGGAUCAUCUUUAGGCAGCAGCAUAUUCAUGGGCUCCAUACUUCUUUGAGAAGCAUUGGAAUGCAAUGGAUGAAGAAAAUCCAGAAGCAAUGAAUUAUAUAAGGCAAUGUCAUACUAGGAAAUGGGCAAGAAGUCAAUUUUGUUCCGAUUGCAAGAUUGACUAUGUCACAAACAACUUGGCAGAGUGCUUCAACAAUUGGGUAAAGAAGUACAAGGGUUUGAAUCUGGACGACUUUAUGGAUAUGAUUAGACAACUUAUUAUGGAUGAGUGGGAUAUUAGAAGGGAUGUCUCGGCAAAGAUUGAAGGGGUAUUUUGCCACACAUCAUGAAGGAGUUGAGGGAGCAAAGCAGGAACUUGGAUAUGGAUGUCCAUAGAAGUGGAGAUAUUCUUGGAGAGGUGGGUGUUAAGGGUGGUAGUGGCUACAAAUGUGUUGUCAAUCUAGAAGAAAGAACUUGUUCAUGUAGGAAAUGGCAAGUACCAGGGAUUCCAUGCAAACAUGCCAUUGCAUUCAUCACAUAUCUUAGGGAACCUCUAGAGAAAUAUGUUGACAACUAUUAUUCAGUCGAUAAAUUUAGAGCUGCUUAGUCUCUCAUUCCUGCCAUGCCUGACAUAGCACAAUGGCCACAAUCUGAUCAUGGGUUUUUCAUGCAUCCACCACUCAUAAAAUCUACAGCGGGUAGAAGAUAGAACCAGAGGUUUAAAGGUUGUACGGAAGGCAGCACAAUAAGAAAGAAAGGGUCACAUCAUUGCAAAGUUUGUAAGAAAUUUAGCCAUCGCUGAUAUAAGUGCAAGGAAGGUGACCCUGAGGACAUAGCAGCUAUGCCAGCUGAAAAGGGUCCACCAAAGAAAAGAAAGAAAAUCAUUAAGCCAUCUUGUGAGAGUAGCAUUGUACCUGUUGGUCUAACACCUAAAACAAUGAAUUUUUCUCCUAACCAAACUACCUCGGUUAGCUUAGGAUCUAGAAAUUCUCUCAGGUCCAGAAGUGGCUCAAACCAACUUGAGCUACUUCCUGCACGUGAGACAACACCACCACCUGCCACCUCCAAGCCCAGGGAGAAGAAAGCUAAAGGGAAGGCAGCAGGGAAGAAAAAUAAAAAAGAAAUUUCAGUACCACAUGAUAGUCCUGCAAUGAGUACUAGAAGCAAGACCCCUCAACAAGACAGCCCUGCCUCUCAUACUAGAAGCAAAAGAAAGCUUCCACUUACUGAUUUGAACUAGUGUUAAUGCUGUUUCUUUUGUAUGUCAUUUCCUAUUUUGGUUGGUCUUUGUGACACCAAAUCUCGUUUCUUUUGCUAAGCUUAUUUCAACUAGUAGUUGCUGUUACUCUACCUAUAUAGCUGCUUGUAUGGAAGCAAUGGCUGAUUGCAAGGAUGCUUGUAUGGACAUCAAUGAUUACUUGUAUGGCUACUUGUAUGGCUGCAUAUAUGGACAACAAUGAUGCUAUAUAGACAUCAAUGGUUGUUUGACUAGUUGCUUAUUUGGAUAUCAA